rnacentral:lncRNA from 1 species
GAAGAUAAUCUAUUAUCUGACAUAUCUUGAGAAGCAUCUAAUUUCUGAAUGGAACAUGAGGUUUUGUUCAUAGCCUUCUGUUCCUCGGUACCAUCUGGCUGAACAGAUUCACUGGCAAUUGUCACAGGCGAAGCUUCUUCUGGCUGAAUGGCUAAUUGAAAAUUUCCCUUCAAAUCUUCAGUUUCAACUGUGUUCAAUUCUGAUGUGGCAGAAGCAGAACGGUUCACAGAGUCCUCAGCUUCUGGCAUAUUCUCAGGCUUCAGUACACCAUCAGUUAUUACACUCUCCACAGAUUGCAUUGC